rnacentral:rRNA from 1 species
UGAAAGGGAAUCCUAAGUACUUUACUUUUAGUAAGGUUUUUGCCAUAUGUAAAUAGUAUGGCGAAUAAGUGGUGGGUAAGACUUGUGCCAGCCGCCGCGGUAACACCAGCGCCACAAGUAGCAUCCACGGUUAUUGGACCUAAAGCGUACGUAGCCGGUUCGAUAAAUUUUCUGUGAAAUCGUUGGGCUUAACUCAACGGCAUGCAGAAAACACUAUCGAACUUGGGAUCGGGAGGAACCAGAGGUAUUUUUGGGGGAGCGGUAAAAUGCUAUAAUCCCAGAAGGACCACCGGUGGCGAAGGCGUCUGGUUAGAACGAAUCCGACGGUCAGGUACGAAAGCCAAGGGAGCAAUCCGGAUUAGAUACGAGAAAUUAUGUCUGAUUUCUGGAGUUAGUUCAUAAAUUGUUCUGUAAGACUAUUAUGAAUUGAUGAAAGAAAUUGCUAUAUGAUAAUUCACUCGCUAACUACCCGAGUAGUCUUGGCUGUAAACUCUGCGAGCUAGGUGUUACAUGUUCUUCGUGAAUAUGUGGUGUCGUAGUGAAGACGUUAAGCUCGCCGCCUGGGAAGUAUGGUCGCAAGGCUGAAACU